UUAUGUGUGGUUCACAGACUCG
rnacentral:piRNA from 1 species